rnacentral:rRNA from 1 species
UACGUAGGGUGCGAGCGUUGUCCGGAAUUACUGGGCGUAAAGAGCUCGUAGGUGGUUUGUCGCGUUGUCCGUGAAAACUCACAGCUCAACUGUGGGCGUGCGGGCGAUACGGGCAGACUAGAGUGCGGUAGGGGAGACUGGAAUUCCUGGUGUAGCGGUGAAAUGCGCAGAUAUCAGGAGGAACACCGGUGGCGAAGGCGGGUCUCUGGGCCGUAACUGACGCUGAGGAGCGAAAGCAUGGGGAGCAAACGGG